rnacentral:rRNA from 1 species
GGGGAAUUUUCCGCAAUGGGCGAAAGCCUGACGGAGCAAGACCGCGUGGGGGAUGAAGGUUUGUGGAUUGUAAACCCCUUUUGAUUGGGAAGAAUACUGACGGUACCAAUCGAAUAAGCCUCGGCUAACUCCGUGCCAGCAGCCGCGGUAAUANCGGAGGAGGCAAGCGCUAUCCGGAAUUAUUGGGCGUAAAGCGUCCGUAGGUGGUUUAGUAAGUCUGCUGUUAAAGCGCGGGGCUUAACUCCGUAUCGGCAGUGGAAACUACUAGACUAGAGUGUGGUAGGGGUAGAGGGAAUUCCCAGUGUAGCGGUGAAAUGCGUAGAUAUUGGGAAGAACACCGGUGGCGAAAGCGUUUUGCUAGACCGUAACUGACACUGAGGGACGAAAGCUAGGGGAGCGAAUGGGAUUAGAUACCCCAGUAGUC